rnacentral:rRNA from 1 species
GUGGGCAACCUGCCUGUAAGAUUGGGAUAACCCCGGGAAACCGGGGCUAAUACCGGAUAAUACUUUUCGUUGCAUAACGAGAAGUUGAAAGGCGGCUUUUAGCUGUCACUUACAGAUGGGCCCGCGGCGCAUUAGCUAGUUGGUAAGGUAACGGCUUACCAAGGCGACGAUGCGUAGCCGACCUGAGAGGGUGAUCGGCCACACUGGGACUGAGACACGGCCCAGACUCCUACGGGAGGCAGCAGUAGGGAAUCUUCCGCAAUGGACGAAAGUCUGACGGAGCAACGCCGCGUGAGUGAUGAAGGUUUUCGGAUCGUAAAACUCUGUUGUCAGGGAAGAACAAGUGCCGUUCAAAUAGGGCGGCACCUUGACGGUACCUGACCAGAAAGCCCCGGCUAACUACGUGCCAGCAGCCGCGGUAAUACGUAGGGGGCAAGCGUUGUCCGGAAUUAUUGGGCGUAAAGCGCGCGCAGGCGGUCCUUUAAGUCUGAUGUGAAAGCCCACGGCUUAACCGUGGAGGGCCAUUGGAAACUGGAGGACUUGAGUACAGAAGAGGAGAGUGGAAUUCCACGUGUAGCGGUGAAAUGCGUAGAGAUGUGGAGGAACACCAGUGGCGAAGGCGACUCUCUGGUCUGUAACUGACGCUGAGGUGCGAAAAGCGUGGGGAGCGAACAGGAUUAGAUACCCUGGUAGUCCACGCCGUAAAACGAUGAGUGCUAGGUGUUAGGGGGGUUUCCGCCCCCUUAGUGCUGAAGUUUAACGCAUUUAAGCACUCCGCCCUGGGGGAGUACGGCCCGCAA